GGGUGCGAUCAUACCAGCAAUAAUGCACCGGAUCCCAUCAGAACUCCGAAGUUAAGCUUGCUUGGGCGAGAGCAGUACUAGGAUGGGUGACCUCCUGGGAAGUCCUCGUGUUGCACCCUC
rnacentral:rRNA from 1 species